rnacentral:rRNA from 1 species
GAUGAACGCUGGCGGCGUGCCUAAUACAUGCAAGUCGAGCGAACGGACGAGAAGCUUGCUUCUCUGAUGUUAGCGGCGGACGGGUGAGUAACACGUGGAUAACCUACCUAUAAGACUGGGAUAACUUCGGGAAACCGGAGCUAAUACCGGAUGAUAUUUUGAACCGCAUGGUUCAAAAGUGAAAGACGGUCUUGCCGUCACUUAUAGAUGGAUCCGCGCUGCAUUAGCUAGUUGGUAAGGUAACGGCUUACCAAGGCAACGAUGCAUAGCCGACCUGAGAGGGUGAUCGGCCACACUGGAACUGAGACACGGUCCAGACUCCUACGGGAGGCAGCAGUAGGGAAUCUUCCGCAAUGGGCGAAAGCCUGACGGAGCAACGCCGCGUGAGUGAUGAAGGUCUUCGGAUCGUAAAACUCUGUUAUUAGGGAAGAACAUAUGUGUAAGUAACUGUGCACAUCUUGACGGUACCUACUCAGAAAGCCACGGCUAACUACGUG